GGGCCUUUGGGGGCAGGCACAGGAUGUCACCUCUGCGGUGACACAUAUCCCCCUGAACCUCGGGCCGGAGAGUCCACUUCAUGGUGGAAACUCAGCCCGCAGGGUGGACUUGUGGCCCUCAUUCAGCUGCCAGCUGCUGCGUGCUGACACCAGCUCUGCCAGGUCUGGGGAGUCCAUUUCCCCUCACCCAGCUGCUGUCAGAAAUCUCUUCUUUUCAAAGGACUGUCACUAAGUUCCCCAGCGUCUCCCCGAGGCCUUUUCCUCAGCGAGGGCUGGAGGGCUGAAGGGCUCGGCCUUGCCGAGCAAGUCUCCAAAGGCCAUGCAGGCCGGGCGAUUCGUAAAUGCCUGGAGCAUUUUUCUAGUUGGCUAACCAGCAGCCCUCCUGCUGCUGCGUUUCGAUUUGGAUCUAGAGAAAGGGUCAGAGAGGGAGGCAGCUGCUGAAAGGGAGAGAGGCUGCCAUGUUGGGCUUUGCCUGGCUGACUUGCCAGAGGUUGGAGAGGGGAUGGAAAAAGCGGGAUUCAGCUGGAAGCAAAUGCAAACGCGGGGACGAGUCCUAAGAGUUGUGGGCCCCGGGCCUGUGAAUGCAUCUUUCCACGAGGAGUUUGCUCCUCUGUGAAAUGGGAUCAUUGAGUGCUUCAGCCGCCCACCCUGGGCGGUUGCUUCUGACAGCGUGUGACCUUAAGCUUCUUGGUUUGCUUUGUAUUGCUGCUGUUAGUAUUAUUCAGGAUUGAGGGGUGAGAGACAAAGAAUGUUUCGUGUUUGGAAUUGAUUGCGAAUUUUAGAUGUUUUUAUACUAGUUCUUGCUCUUAUGAAGUUUCAGCAUACUGAGAUGUUCCUGAGAUCUUUGGCGAGGUUUCCAGCACAUAAAAAAUAAUUCCGGUCAGGCAUAGCAGUAGGGGCUUUAUGUUUGUUUUUGCCUUUCAUGCCCUCGGCCUUUCCAUAAGGAGAGGUUUAAAGAUGGAGAGACGGGGGGCUUAGAGGUGCCACAUUGUGACAACUCGGCCAGUAACCGCUCUGUACUGUUGAUGGUAAGGGGUACAGGAAAAUCUUCACCCCUGGGCCCGGAGUCUGCACCCAAGACUCACCAGGAAUAGCACGCGGCAGGCUGUGCUUGCUUUCCCACAAUGCCUGGUGCCUAAGAGUUGCUCCGUCAACAGCGAAAGACGGCUUGGAAAGGCCUGGCUGCCCUGAGGACGGUCCUUGCACCCGGCUGGGCCCUACUCAGCACCGGUGGUUCCAGCCCCCGUGCUUUCUUCUCUUUAGUCCUUUGAGUAUUGACGUUUCAGGGGUCCCUCCUGCCUCCAGGAAGCUGGCGUCUCUAAGUGCGUUAGCAUGUGCUAGGCGACCACUGGAGGUGGGAGGUCUCAAGCCCAAGAAAAGACAGGCUUGGAGGGACAGAAGGAGGGCAGGGUGGGCUCGGGGCUCUCCGGUGAAAGGUGAGUAGACAGCCCACCUGGCCCAGGCCCUCCCUUCCUCAUCGCGGGGGCCAGAGACCCUGUGAAAACUGUGCCAAAAGAGUCUGCAGUGCAAGGCGGCCCCCUGCACGCCCGUGCCCAGGGAACCAGGAAGCGGUGUCAGGGCACACUGUGUUUUGUGUUGCUUUCUGCGGUGGCCCGGGGACAGAUUUGUAGCUAUUUCCAAAAGGCUGGGGAAAUAGCCCUUGGAAUCAGAGCUCCGGAAAAUUCUUUUUGUUAUUUUUAACCUAUUAUAUUUUGUGCGGAGCCCUGACCGGAGAAGAGGAAGAAGAAGAAGAGGGACAAGACCAGGCUCCCGACUCUGCUCUCAGGGGCCCAGGUCCCUGUGCCUGAGUUUCGGGGCCUCCCACGACCUGCCCCUACCUGCCUCAACCCACCCACCGGCCCCUGUGAGCCUGCAGGCUCCAUCUGUUCAUCCAAAUCCCCAGAGAGACACAACCCCCCGGAUGACAGGGAGACGAUAUUUAGUGAACUGGCCACAGGGCAGACCCUUUGUUACAGCCUCUCAUGCACAGCCUCUGAGUCUAAUCUCACCCUGUGCCGUGGCUACUCAUGUCCCCAUUUUACUGCUGAAGAAACUGAGGCUCAGAGAAUUUAAGCAACUUGCUCAAGAUCUAGCUCCCCAGUCCGCGUCCUCCCCUGGAGGCCCAUCUUGGUAGCUCCUCGCUGUACUCAAUGCAACGGAACAGAAGGUUCCCCCAGCUAAGGGGCUAAAAAGGAGGGGAUGGUACCAGGAGCCCGGAGGAGAGUCAAAGAACACUCUCGAGCUCUUCAGACCCUGCGGUGCUAACUUUCCAGUCCACUUGGCGGCUUUGGUGGCAUCUUAGCGCCAAAGGGAAUGUUACAGGGGGCUCUCAUUCAACCCAGUUCCCUAUUGCGGCUUAAAUUCGCCACGGCAACAUCCCCUCCAAGUGGCUGCUCAGCCUCCUCACAGCAAGGGCAACAAUAAGAAGGCAGAGAAUCUUCAAGAAGAUGCAGAGGGUGAGGAGUAGCUUGUUUGUCUGGGGCGUGUGACAGAAUGAGAGAAACUGACAGGAAAUACUGUGGGGACCAGACUGUGUAAUAACAAUAAGAACAAUAAGAACAACCACAACAAAACCAACAGAAGGAGCAAUUAGAACCAUAAUAAUAGCAAACCUUUUUUGAGAGCUUACUAUAUAUAUAUGGGGGCGCUUUCCAUGGGUAAUCUCCCCAAACCCUUGCACACAUCCCUGAUAGAGGCAUUUUAAGGUUCCCCAUGUUGCAGAUGAGGGAGUCCUGGAGAGACACAUAAUGUGCCCCAAACCACACAGUAAAAGCCUGAGGCAGGUUUAAACUCACACUGGGUGGCUCAGAAGCUGCCUUGUUGAAACACUACACUUUUCUAGAAUCCUGCACGAAGGCCUUUCUUUAGACUUUUAUUCUGUAGGCCACAUCAGGGUAAAAUUAUAUUCCAUCUCAAGAAAACAUCCAAGGUUCCCAUCAUUAAAACUUUUAAGAACGUGUAUCACAGAUCAUUAAAAUCAGAUAUUUGCCUGCUCCAAUGUUCAAAUGAUUUCAUCAGAGAAACCCAAUCUGCUCUCUGCCUCCUCUCACAUAGCCCGAUGCCCGCACAACAAAGGGGAUUCUUUAUCUUGAACACUGGUAGUUUCGCAGAGCUUUUCACUACUCUAAUAUUUUUCCCAGCAGUCAUUCAUAUUACAAUGGUUAAAAAAAUUAGUGGUCAAAUAACAUAUUGAAAGGGGAGACCUUCUGUGUUAAAAAUGACCGUCUUUAUUCCAUUGUGAAGCAAAAUUAUCAUUAGCAAGUAGUAAGUGUUGAUAUAUUUUAAUGUGCGACUUCUGUGGACGUCAAGGCUGUUUUAUAGACAAUAAUUCCCAGGUCCUCAGCUGAAGGUAGCUAAUGGCUUUUAUGGGAGGAACAAUGAAGCACAGGUGGGCGACAGGCACCUGGCCCAAAUUGGAGGUGACACCUCACAUGGUCCCUACUCAGCCUUCUUGGCUGACCCUGAUGAUUCCCCCUCCCUGAGGCUGGUUUCUUGGGCCUAUGACCUGUGCCCUCAUACAAAGACCCUCACUGACAGAGGCCCUAUGCUUGGCUUAAUGCUCUGCCACCACCAUCUUGAAAUUCUCAAUCAUUUUGAACAAAGGGCCCCAUGUUUUCAUUUUGCACUGUGUCCCCAAGUUAUGAAGCCAUUCCUGCCCCUUUCAUCCUCAUUCCCUCUGUGCCCCGAGUGCCCCUGGCUUUUCCUAGGACUCAGGAAUGGACUAGGACUCAGUUCCUAGGACUUGACUCAUCUGUCUCUUCCUCUGUCUAGAAUGCCCCCUCUGAUCAUUCCCACCCAGGCUGCUCAAGUGUGGAAAGUUCUGAGUGUGGGCACAGGACAGUUCAGCCUCUCCACGCUCUGCUAAGCUUCAAGCUGAGCCUAGUUGCCCUGAAAGCGGGUGACCUAUGGCAGUCACCACCUUUUCCUAGGACCUGUGCCAAGUGCACACACCAGCUCCUUUCCCUUCCCUUCUGCCAGGUUAUUUAUUUCCUCUCCGAGGGAUCAGCUUACUUGCACAUCAGAAUUGACUGGCACGUACCAAGGCCAAUGAAGGAGCAAGUCUUUACCAGCACCUCCACCCACUCCCCCAAGUCUCUCUGAUGCCUAUAUUCACAGGAGCCUUCUCAGGGAAAGAAUCCCAUUGACAUCAUUUCCAUCAAAGCAAGAAGAAGAGGAUGUCACCUUUUCACACAAAGCCCAAAUAUGGGGCAAAUGAAAGCACCAGGAAAAAGGAACUGCGGAGGACAGAGGUGCCUUGCCGUUAUGGACUGAACGUUUGUAUGAAUGUGGUUGUCCAUAAGCCACGAAGCGGGCCCUCACAGGAACCCAAUCUGCCUGCGCCUGGAUCUUGGACUCCCCAGCCUCCAAAAUGGUGUGAAAUAAAGGUCUUCUUAAGCCACC